rnacentral:lncRNA from 1 species
CGAUGUUCUGCAUGGCGGGGAGGACGAACCUCGAGGUUGGGUCCGAGGGUUGCACCUCGUUCCCGACCGAGAUGUAACGGAACCUUACACCGUUGAAGUUGCGGACGUUGUUGCGGACCCACGUGUCAGCUUCCGCUUGGCUGGAGGCGAUACGCUGGAGAUCAGGGUUGGGAACAUCGAGCAGAAGGUCGAUGUUAGAGCCUCGCAGAGCGGAGAGAACCUCUUGGUUGGGAUCGUAAAGCCGCAUGCGACGGAUGUUACGGUUGCGGUAAAGAGCCACCGCAUCAGCCGGACGUGGCAGGUUGUUUCCUAUUCUCCCGUAGCACACUCCGAUUUGCGCAGCUACAUAUAUGUAUAUCAAAUUAAUAAUCAUUAUUAAUAGAAAUAAGAUUUACAAUGAUAUUAUCGAUAUCGAUAGGUUAAAGAAGGUAGCUAAACCUGCCGUGUGGAAGAAGGAAGCCAUUAAGAAGCUAAGAAGAAGCAAUAACAAUGGUAGUGAGGCUAAGAACCUCGAUUGAUCACUAGACAUCUUCAUGAAAUAACAAUUGAAGAUGAUCUUAUAAUUUCGAGUUUUGUAUGCUUAGAUGCUUAAAACCGUAGCAUUUUGCGCCUAAUUUAUAGAGGGAAUCGGUGAUCUUAGUCAAUGAAAUGAAACAAAAAGUCAUCGCGUCAUAUCAUCACUAGCUGUGGAAUGUUGUAAAUUAAAUCACCGUUCAUGCAUAUCUCACUAAAUUCAUGCUUUGAAAAGUCUUGUAAGUGUGAGUUUUCUCCACAUGUAAGAGCAGCCCAUCGAUGCGAUCCUAUAAUUAAUGAUUUUUAUAUAUAUAAAGAAAAUUCAAUCAUAUAUGUGAUGGCAUAUGGAGGGAGAUGUUUUCAUAGGUUUCAUGUAAGCUUUAGAGAUAUGAGAACAUAUUUUCAUCGUUCUCCAAUGUUUUAAAAAAACAAUCUAGAUACCCACUAAAUUAAUCUCCUAAUAACAGCUUGGACCUUAAAGAAAAUAGUUUUUGGAUCCUUUACGUUUUUUUUUUGCUUUAGGCUGCAUAAAAAAAAUUAAACCUUUAUGUGUAAUUUUCUGUUGGUAGAUUUUGUUAUGGAACCAAAAGAAAUAAUAUACAUAUAAAAUAAUUUAUGAUUCUUUCUCAAUCUUGUUUUUGUUUUUCUUUGUAAUCCUCUUAUUUUUGUAUAGUUUCGAAAUGCUUAUAUGUUUUUUUUUUUGUUAAAAUGAUAUAGGUGGCUUUAUUUAAUUAUUAGGAUAUGUGAUUGAGCGGGGUGUCGCACUCCAUAAACCUAGCCGGCCCUUGAUGUAGCUCUCAAUAAGGCCUAACCAGCUAGACACUAAAAUCUUACUGUUAAAUGGAACGAAUCGUCCACCGCCUCAAAUUCAAAAAUACCGAGUCUCAAAGACUCAAAGUUUGUGUGGAAACUGCAACUUAUGUUUUUGAAAAUAGGCCAGAUUAAAAUAGUUCAUCCAGAUAACAUAUUUUUAUUUUUUUUUAAAUUUCUCAAAAAAAUAUAAACAAAAUAAUAUAUUAAAUAUAAAUUUGAUUAACAUAUGUCAGGAUACCUAAACUUAACAUAUAAUUAUUUUAGUUCAAAUAUUUGGAUAGAUAAUCAAUAAUUAUUUUAAGUAUUUUUAGUGUUUUAAGUAUACUUUUACUAUUUUAUAUAUUUACUAUUGGUUAUUUGUAUAUAUUUUCAAGUAUUUAAACCAGCUUAAAAGUAUCAUAUAUAUUCUAUAUGUUUUUAUAUAUAUUAAAUCUAAAAAUAAUUAAUAUAUAUAAGUAUAUAAAUCUAUUUCAGAUACAUUCGGAUAUUCGGAAUACUUCCAUUCGGAUCGGAUUUGGUUUCAGCUCUCCAAAAACUAAAAUUUGAAUAAUUCGGACAUUUAACCAAAAACUUAAAACGAUGAAAAUGCAAAACAGCAUAUAAAGAAGAACUCAAUCACGAUUCACGAUCAACGGUGAAAUUCCUCUAAAACCGAUCUGAUGAUGAUGCAUCAAAAAGCUGUCAGACUUAAAUAAAAAAUAUAUAUAUAUAUAUAUAUAUCUUAUAUGUGUGUGUGUGAAACCUUAUCAUGUACACAUUAUUCAACAACCUAGUUACGAUAAAGAUGAUGAAGAUAAGUUUGAUGAAAUUCCAAUGCCAAAUAUGUCGAUGAUGAUGAGAAUCAUGAAAUGGACAUUUUGCCUCAAAUCGUGAUCAUGUGGGAACAAGAUUAUUGUGAGCGAAUGUGUGUAUUCUGCAGUAAAACCAUGAUCACGGAUUACUUUAAGAAGAUAUCUUUUUACUGAGAAACAUACAUUGAAAAAUAAGAUGACUAAAUUUUAAGAGGCAUUUGAGCUAUAGCAGGAGAACAAUAUAACCAUUAAGCAUGACUUGAAUUGAAUGAAACACAUAAUAAAUUCCUAUAUGUUAAACAAUAGAUGUGCGGCAUUAUACAACUAUAUGGAAAUGAGAAUACAACUAUCUAGAAAAUAUAAGUGGUCUAAAAAUUGUUUUAGGCGUUAGACUCUCUAGAACCAUAGAGUUUUUUUUAUAAAACGCCUAGGUAAUUAUAAUAGGGUAAUAAUAAAUAAUAAAUAACUUAGUGUUUAUAAAUUGUAGUAAUUACUUUAUUUUAAUAUAAAAUUUUAUAAAAACAAGUAAUAUGAACAUUAGUAUUCGUAAAUCAUGAUACUUAAUCUAUUAUUAGUUAGUCAGUCUAUACGUUUACGGUUUACCAAUUAUAUAUAUAGUAUAUUGUUAUAAUUGGUAAACCGUAAUCAUUUAGGCCAACUAACUAAUAAUUUACUCGUCGGAUAGGUGUUAGGCGUUGAAUCACUAUUCGCUUAACGUCUAAUGAUUUCUUGAACACUAGACUAAAUUGUAGAAUAAACAAAUUUUUAUUUGAAUUGAUUAUAAAAUUGAUAUAACAGAAUAAUAUAUAUAUAUAUAUAUUUAUUUAAUCAUCAAAUACUGAAAAAUAUGAGUGAUUAAUAGUGUCUUCAAUCUUUUUUAUCCAACAUAUCUGAACAUGAAUGAAUUCACACAGUCUUUUGCCUUCUUCACAUCUAUCUAUUUUCUUCUCAUUACACACAACCACAAAGAUAUAAAUAGAUGUUAGGAAAAAAUGUAUAUGCUGAAUGAAUAUAAAUAUAAAUUUAUAUAAAAUUUACAAUUAUUGCCAAAACUUACUCGGAUCUUAAGCUGAAAUACAACGAAUAUUAACACAUUCAAUUCGCAUUGUUUCCCACAUUACUUAGAAUGUUUACCAAAACAUCCGAAUGAAUCUGGUUCGAAUGGACCACUGAUACGUAUGUUAACAAAAAUAUUGAAACGAGUUCAUGCAUGUACCCGAGACGCAGAAUAUAAGGAUGGACAGUCUGGCACACAAUGUCCGGAAACAAUUGUCCGGAAACAAUUGUAUACCUCAUAUUUAAUCAUAUGCAAAACUAACUUAAAAAAGUGAAAACUUAUUAUUUACCCUUUAUGACAAAACAAAAAAAAUCAGGAAUUAUUUUACGAUUCUGACUUUCGCAAGAAUAUCUGGUCCAUCUGCAAAUUCUAUUGUAUAAUCCAAAAAGUAUAUACAGUAGAACCUCCAUAAAUUAUUAAAGUUGGUACUUUGAAAUUUUAUUAAUUUAUAGAGAUAUUAAUUUAAAAAAAUUCAUUAUUAGAUUUCUUAUUUUAAGAUAUAUUUAUUUAAGAUAAGAAAAAUAUUUGAUUUUUGUGCAUAGACAUUAAUUGUUAUUUUUUUUUAAAUCUGACAUUUAUAUUAAUUUUAUUAUAUUAUUUGGUGUAUAUAAUAUAUAUUGUAUUGAACUUAAAUGUGGUUUUAGAUAUAAUAUUACUAAAUAUCAUCAAAAAUAUAUGAAGUGUUAAGAAAAAGUAAAUAUAAUUUCAUUGUUAAUAUAAAACAAACAAUAUAGUAAUAGGUUCUUACUUAUAUAAAAUAUGUAUACAUAUGAACUAUCAAUACAUAUAAACUAUUAAUUUAUAUAUUUACAUAGAAUUUUCUAAGAAAAUAUUAUCUUAUUAUUUUAUUGGUUUCUGUCAAAUUAUAAGUUUAUUAAUUUUCUUGUCUCAUUAUUUCUUAUUAUUGUUACAUGUUUCCCACUUUUUGGAAUCUUUAUUAAUACAAGCCCUCGAAUUCCAUUCAGCUCAUAUCACUAUAAUAAAGUGUCUUCAAGGAUAUUAAUUAGUUGAAAUUGACACCAUACUUGGGCUGUUGAUUGGGAAGAAACAUUCCAAAGAACUUUUCAAACUCAGGACUCUUCUGAUUCUCAUCGAACAUACCGAAUAUAUAAGUCUCGAUAGGUCUCCCUUGUCUUCUAGGAGAUCCACUCUUCACAGUUUGUAUCAAAUUGUUCACAUAAGUCCUUGCAUUAUCCACAUUUGUCGCGGUUCCUCCAGCUGUCGGCCAACCACUCUCCGAGACCACAAUCUCCACCGAUCCUCCUCCUGUUUUCUCCAAUGCCGCAUAAACAGUGUCUACGAGUGCGUGGAAGAGGUUUCGGUAUGCGUUUGACCCAUCAUUGACUACAGUGGACGGUGAAGUGAACAGAGCAUAGUCCAAACGGAUGUCUCUCAUGUUGUUGAUGUAGCUGAAGUAAGGGUAGACAUUCACGAGUAGUGGAGAUUGCUUGCUCACCAAGAAAGCUAUCACGGGAGCGAUAAAGUUUCUAAAUUCAGGUGUGAAUGUCCCACUCGAAGGAGGAAACCCACUAAUGCCUCUGGUGUCUAUAGCCGUGGAGACCUUGAUCCCGAGGCCUGAAACCGCUCUAUCGAUGUUCUGCAUGGCGGGGAGGACGAACCUCGAGGUUGGGUCCGAGGGUUGCACCUCGUUCCCGACCGAGAUGUAACGGAACCUUACACCGUUGAAGUUGCGGACGUUGUUGCGGACCCACGUGUCAGCUUCCGCUUGGCUGGAGGCGAUACGCUGGAGAUCAGGGUUGGGAACAUCGAGCAGAAGGUCGAUGUUAGAGCCUCGCAGAGCGGAGAGAACCUCUUGGUUGGGAUCGUAAAGCCGCAUGCGACGGAUGUUACGGUUGCGGUAAAGAGCCACCGCAUCAGCCGGACGUGGCAGGUUGUUUCCUAUUCUCCCGUAGCACACUCCGAUUUGCGCAGCUACAUAUAUGUAUAUCAAAUUAAUAAUCAUUAUUAAUAGAAAUAAGAUUUACAAUGAUAUUAUCGAUAUCGAUAGGUUA